UAAAUAGUUGGGCUAAAUUGGAUUAUAAAAAUCGUUGCUCAAUUUGCGUUUUGAUUGGAUGUAAUAAUGACUAGUUUUCUUGUUAUUAUCCUAUUUCUAUCCAAGGUUCUGUAAUCUUUUAACUAUAGAUUAAAAAAUUAAUUACGUUUUCUUUUCUUAAAAUAAAUUUCAAGGAGAUAAAAGAGAGGAAGUCGGAAGGAGAUAGUUUCUUUGAGAAAACAAAGAGGGAAUAAUAGAAAAUAAUUCUUAUUGAUCCACAGGCCACGUUUACUGGGACCAACAAAAGACUUUCUGCAGAAAAAUGUUGAAUGAUAAUUAACUUUUAAUCAAUUUGUCCUGGCAUUCAUUAUUUGCCCUGCCGUUCAAUGGAACAUCUCAAAUCUUGCAACAAAAAUUUAACAUAUCCUUGA
rnacentral:misc_RNA from 1 species